GAACUGCUGAAGAGUCCCACAAUAGGACCAAACAGCCGUCCAGUGU
rnacentral:hammerhead_ribozyme from 1 species